rnacentral:rRNA from 1 species
CAGCAGCCGCGGUAAGACAGAGGAUGCAAGCGUUAUCCAGAAUGAUUGGGUGUAAAGCGUCCGUAGGUGGCUUUUCAAGUCCGCCGUCAAACCCCAGGGCUAAACCCUGGACAGGCGAUGGAAACUACCAAGCUGGAGUAUGGUAGGGGCAGAGGGAAUUUCCGGUGGAGAGGUGAAAUGCGUUGAGAUCAGAAAGACACCAACGGCGAAAGCACUCUGCUGGGCCGACACUGACACUAAGAGAUGAAAGCCAGGGGAAAAAAUGGGAUUAGAUACCCCGGUAGUCCCUGUCUCUUAUACA